rnacentral:tmRNA from 1 species
GGGGUCGCUUAGUUUCGACGGGAAUAAUAAUUUUUAAAGGGCAAGUCGUAAGAUAUACGAUACAUUCAAAUUUAAAAAUAACUGGAAACAGAAAUCAAUUAGCUUUCGCUUAAUAGAUUAGAAGGCUGCUUCUUUAUAUUUUUACUCACGAAAUAUAAAAGAGGCUCGAUUAGUGAGUUAUAUUAAUAGUUUUUUUCUAGGAUUAUUGAUGAAUUAAUAUAGAAAUUACUAAAUAAAAUUUUGAUAGUUUAUUAUUAUUUAGGACAUUAACAAAUUAUCUAAACUUGUAGAACUUUAAACUUUAUAUUUUCGGACAGGGGUGCGAUUCCCCUCGACUCCACCA